GACGAACGCUGGCGGCGUGCUUAACACAUGCAAGUCGAGCGGUAAGGCCCUUUCGGGGGUACACGAGCGGCGAACGGGUGAGUAACACGUGGGUGACCUGCCCUCAGCUCUGGGAUAAGCCUGGGAAACCGGUCUAUACUGGAUAUGACUCCAUGACGCAUGUUGUGGGGUGGAAAGCCUUGUGCGGCUGAGGAUGGGCCCGCGGCCUAAUCAGCUUGUUGGUGGGGUGANGGCCUACCAAGGCGACGACGGGUAGCCGGCCUGAGAGGGCGACCGGCCACACUGGGACUGAGACACGGCCCAGACUCCUACGGGAGGCAGCAGUGGGGAAUCUUGCGCAA
rnacentral:rRNA from 1 species